rnacentral:rRNA from 1 species
CAUCCUACGGGGGGCAGCAGUGAGGAAUAUUGGUCAAUGGGCGGGAGCCUGAACCAGCCAAGUCGCGUGAGGGAAGACGGUCCUACGGAUUGUAAACCUCUUUUGCCGGGGAGCAACGGGGUCCUUGCGAGGGCCCGAUGAGAGUACCCGGAGAAAAAGCAUCGGCUAACUCCGUGCCAGCAGCCGCGGUAAUACGUAGGUGGCAAGCGUUAUCCGGAUUUAUUGGGUGUAAAGGGCGUGUAGGCGGGAAUGCAAGUCAGAUGUGAAAACUAUGGGCUCAACCCAUAGCCUGCAUUUGAAACUGU